GAAGUAUUAGUAAAACAAUUACAUAACUUUGUCAARGUUAAAUUAUAGGUUUAAGCCCURUGUACUUCC
rnacentral:tRNA from 1 species